rnacentral:rRNA from 1 species
AGUCCACAUCGACGGGGAGGUUUGGAACCUCGAUGUCGGCUCAUCACAUCCUGGGGCUGUAGUAGGUCCCAAGGGUUGGGCUGUUCGCCCAUUAAAGUGGUACGCGAGCUGGGUUCAGAACGUCGUGGGACAGUUCGGUCCCUAUCCGUCGCAGGCGUAGGAAAUUUGAGAAGACCUGUCCUUAGUACGAGAGGACCGGGAUGGACGUACCUCUGGUGUACCAGUUGU